rnacentral:rRNA from 1 species
UACGUAGGGGGCUAGCGUUGUCCGGAAUUAUUGGGCGUAAAGAGCUCGUAGGCGGCUUGAUAAGUCGGGUGUGAAACCUCCAGGCUCAACCUGGAGUCGCCACUCGAUACUGUCAUGGCUAGAGUCCGGUAGGGGACCACGGAAUUCCUGGUGUAGCGGUGAAAUGCGCAGAUAUCAGGAGGAACACCAAUGGCGAAGGCAGCACUCUGGGACGUGACUGACGCUGAGACGCGAAAAGCGUGGGGGAGCAAACAGG